rnacentral:rRNA from 1 species
GGGGCCCCCAUGCUGCCUCUCUUAAGGGGGUGGCUUUUUUAGAGUGUAAAAAGCUUUAAGAAUAAAAGCUGGGCAAGACCGGUGCCAGCCGCCGCGGUAA